rnacentral:rRNA from 1 species
UGGGGAAUCUUGCACAAUGGGGGCAACCCUGAUGCAGCGACGCCGCGUGAGCGAUGAAGGUUUUCGGAUCGUAAAGCUCUGUUGUUAAGGAAGAACGAGUGUGAGAAUGGAAAGUUCAUGCUGUGACGGUACUUAACCAGAAAGGGACGGCUAACUACGUGCCAGCAGCCGCGGUAAUACGUAGGUCCCGAGCGUUGUCCGGAUUUAUUGGGCGUAAAGCGAGCGCAGGCGGUUAGAAAAGUCUGAAGUGAAAGGCAGUGGCUCAACCAUUGUAGGCUUUGGAAACUGUUUAACUUGAGUGCAGAAGGGGAGAGUGGAAUUCCAUGUGUAGCGGUGAAAUGCGUAGAUAUAUGGAGGAACACCGGUGGCGAAAGCGGCUCUCUGGUCUGUAACUGACGCUGAGGCUCGAAAGCGUGGGGAGCAAACAGG